GACGAACCGUGCGAACGUUGUUCGGAAUCACUGGGCUUAAAGGGCGCGUAGGCGGGUUCGCAAGUCUGUGGUGAAAGCCUCCAGCUUAACUGGAGAAGUGCCAUGGAUACUGCGCAUCUUGAGGAGGGUAGGGGCGUCUGGAACGGUCGGUGGAGCGGUGAAAUGCGUUGAUAUCGACCGGAACUCCGGUGGCGAAGGCGAGGCGCUGGACCCUUUCUGACACUGAGGCGCGAAAGCCAGGGGAGCAAACGGG
rnacentral:rRNA from 1 species